ACAGUGAAAUUGCCUCAGUACGGCGAGUGAGCGGCAAAAGCUCAAAUUUGAAAUCUAGCACCUUCGGUGUUUGAGUUGUAAUUUGAAGAUGGUAACCUUGGGUUUGGCUCUUGUCUAUGUUCCUUGGAACAGGACGUCAUAGAGGGUGAGAAUCCCGUCUGAUGAGAUGCCCAUUCCUAUGUAAGGUGCUAUCGAAGAGUCGAGUUGUUUGGGAAUGCAGCUCUAAGUGGGUGGUAAAUUCCAUCUAAAGCUAAAUAUUGGCGAGAGACCGAUAGCGAACAAGUACAGUGAUGGAAAGAUGAAAAGAACUUUGAAAAGAGAGUGAAAAAGUACGUGAAAUUGUUGAAAGGGAAGGGCAUUAGAUCAGACUUGGUGUUUUACGAUUAUCUUCUCUUCUUGAGUUGUGCACUCGUAUUUCACUGGGCCAGCAUCGAUUCGGAUGGCAAGAUAAUGGCAGUUGAAUGUGGCUUCACUUCGGUGGAGUGUUAUAGCUUCUGCUGAUAUUGCCUGUCUGGAUCGAGGGCUGCGUCUUUUGACUAGGAUGCUGGCGUAAUGAUCUAAUGCCGCCCGUCUUGAAACC
rnacentral:rRNA from 1 species